rnacentral:rRNA from 1 species
UACGUAGGGGGCAAGCGUUGUCCGGAUUUAUUGGGCGUAAAGAGCGUGUAGGCGGUUUGGUAGGUCCGCUGUGAAAACCCGGGGCUCAACCCCGGGCCUGCAGUCGAUACGGGCAGACUAGAGUGCGGUAGGGGAGACUGGAAUUCCUGGUGUAGCGGUGAAAUGCGCAGAUAUCAGGAGGAACACCGGUGGCGAAGGCGGGUCUCUGGGCCGUAACUGACGCUGAGGAGCGAAAGCGUGGGGAGCGAACAGG